rnacentral:ncRNA from 2 species
GAGAUACGUUAGGGGUGCCGGUGCACUUUGCGGUGCGCGCUUUCCGGCUGAGACUUACCCUCCGAACCUGAUCCGGGUCGUACCGGCGUAGGGAAACGUGGCUCCCGCCCC